AUGUUGAGCGGCAAGGACGCGCAAGGAGGCGUUGGUGGUGGGGGAAAUCCUGUCCAGCAGAUCUCGCGAUGUUUGGGCGCUGCAUCCUUCUUUGCGUCUCUGGGCCUGAGCCCAAGUUCGCUCUGCAGAGCUGGUUUCUUCCAUACGCCUUCACCCUGCACCCGCCCCCCCUUUGAUACUGGGAUUGAACUCAGGUCCUUGAGCUUGCAAGGCAAACGGCAGAACCAGCUAAAUCUCUGGCCCCCAGAUCACCCUGCACUUUUCAAAUAAACUUUUUGGUACCAUUAUUGCUUGUCUUGUGCAAUUCUUUUUUUG
rnacentral:lncRNA from 1 species